rnacentral:rRNA from 1 species
GAUGAACGCUGGCGGCGUGCCUAAUACAUGCAAGUCGAGCGAACGGACGAGGAGUUUGCUUCUCUGAAGUUAGCGGCGGGCGGGUGAUUCACACGUAGAUAACCUACCUAUAAGACUGGGAUAACUACGGGAAACCUGAUCUAACACCGGAUGAUAUUUUGAACCGCAGGGUUCAUAGGUGAAAGAGGUUCUUGCUGUCACUAAUAGAUGUAUCCGCGCUGGAUUAGCUAGUUGGUAAGGUAACGGCCUACCAAGGCAACGAUGCGUAGCCGACCUGAGAGGGUGAUCGGCCACACUGGAACUGAGACACGGUCCAGACUCCUACGGGAGGCAGCAGUAGGGAAUAUUCCGCAAUGGGCGAAAGCCUGACGCAGCAACGCCGCGUGUGUGAAGAAGGUCUUCGGAUCGUAAAACUCUGUUAGUAGGGAAGAACAUAUGUGUAAUUAACUGUGCACAUCUUGACGGUACCUAAUCAGAAAGCCACGGCUAACUACGUG